rnacentral:rRNA from 1 species
UACGUAGGGGGCUAGCGUUGUCCGGAAUCAUUGGGCGUAAAGCGCGUGUAGGCGGUCCGUUAAGUCCGCUGUGAAAGCCGGGGGCUCAACCCUGGAAUGCCGGUGGAUACUGUCGGGCUAGAGUGCGGAAGAGGCGAGUGGAAUUCCUUGUGUAGCGGUGAAAUGCGCAGAUAUCAGGAGGAACACCAAUUGCGAAGGCAGCUCGCUGGGACGUUACUGACGCUGAGACGCGAAAGCGUGGGGAGCAAACAGG